rnacentral:lncRNA from 1 species
AAAAAAAAUUAUAGCAAGGGAAAAAUGAACAAAGAUAAAUGCAGAAACAAAUUUAGCAAGCACAAAAAGAAACAUUCAUGAAUCAGUCCAAGGGCAGAGGCUCUGGAAUGAACCCCUAUGUCUCUGAUUCUACCUUCCUGUCCACUUUUACCUCCAUAGUUGCUCCCCAUUCCCCACCAAUUAUGCUCCAGUAAGAUCCAGCCUCACAGUCAUUUCCUACGUGCACCAUGCUAUUCCCUUUGCCCAAAAUGCCCCUCUCCCCGAGGUUACUUUGGCUUGCAGUUCUGCAGCCUGUACAAGAAGCAAGGCACCUGCAUUUGCUUCUGGUGAUGGCUUCAGGCUGCUUCCACUCAUGGUGGAAGAGGAAGGGGCACCAGUAUGUGCAAAUCACAACAAGGUGAGAGAGAAGGCAGGUGGGGAGAUGCCAGGCUCCCUUUUAACAAUCAGCUCUCAUGGGCACUAGUAGAGUGAAAACUCACUUAUUGCUAUGAGGAUGGCACUGAGCCAUUCAUGAGGGGGUCCACCCUCAUGGCCCUAACACCUCCCUUCAGGCCUCACCUCCAACAUAUGAGUCCUAUCUGUGCCCUUACUUUUUUGGAGUCAGCAUCUAAAAUAGUCACUGCUUUGCUCCAACUGGUGUCUCCAGUAACUUGAUGGGGACAACCUUCAUCUUCUUCCACCUGCUCCAUUCAUGAACCAUGUCUCCUUGUCCUGAAAGGACCAAAGGGUUUCAAUUUUCUUAAGCUGUGCCUCAGUUUCCUCAUCUAUAAAAUGAGCAUAAUAGGAGUACGUACCUUAGUUUAAGAGGACUAAGUAGUUUAUAUGUGACCACAUAUUAACUGAACUCAUUUCAUAUCUCCAACCACCUACACAACAUCUUUAUGUCUAACAGAAUCUUAAGUUUAUUGUGGCAGUAUGGAAACCUUGAUUCUCCACUUCCCAAACCUGCUCUUCCCUGAUGGUUCCUCUUACUGGUUAGUGGCACUGUUGUUCACCCAGCUACUCUGGCCAAAACCUUUGCCUCCUCUCUUUUGCUCACACCCCACAUCCAAUCCCACAGGAGACUGGACCUCUUCUCGCCUCUCCUAUCACAACCCUAGUCCAAGCCAGUAGCCGGUCACCUGGAUUGUGCACUGGACAUUUCCACUCAGUGACAGUAAAUAAAUUAUGCCUGUGGAUGCAUGUCACAAAUAUAAAGUUGAGUGAAAAGUACAAAUUGAAUUUUUCUCCCCCGGGCACGUCUUUGCUGCAAAGGCCCUGGUGGCCGAGACCAAGGCUGGCUGUUUACGUGAGGCCAGCCUUGCAGGUGGGGCAGAGAGGAGGAAAUUUUGUUGUAAGAACUGGGACAAAGUUGGCUUCUGGAACUCCCAAAGAAAAUAUUUUUCUGGCAAGGGGAAUGCAAGGCAAGGCUUCUCUGAUGUGUAACUGAUAGCCUCAGAAGGUGUAAGGUUAAAUAAUGAUCUCAUCAGUAUAACAGGAGCUGGACAGUAUUAAUCAGUGGUCCAAUUCAAAAUAAAGCCACACUGCUAUAAGCAAAGUAAUGAAGGCUUAUUGUGACCUGGGGCUCCUUAAUGACACAGAUUUGAUUCCCACUUAAUGGGCAACUGAAUAAUGCAGCUGAUAGCACAGACCAGUGGGGAAGGCAGACCAGAGGGGUACAGGAGGCUGCCUGGGAUGAGGCAUCUAAAGGCUGUUAUCACAUGUCACAUCAUCAGACCUUGAAUUUGCUAUUAAACAGCAAAUAAGCAAAUAUGCCACUUACAGAAGACCUUUCCAAACUUCAAGGCAUCUACUAAAAUUAUAUUUAUCUCUCUUUGAUAUACCAAUCACGCAACUCUAAACUAUUUAUGCAGAAACUAAUCUACAUAUUAAAUUGUGCCAAUAAAUGUUGUCUUCUCUGUUUAAGUUCUCAGAGGGUGAGGGUCCCACAUCUCCUGCAGGACAGGCCCUAGCUACUGAGUCACAGAAACCCAGGGCCGAAGCAAAGUCCCAAUCCCAGAGAGGCUGGGGCACACCUACAACUGAAAGGAGGCUUAGAAAUCCUUCAGAGACCACCCUAUCGGUUCUCCUCCACCUGGACAGGAUGAGCCAGCAACACAGAAGGAAGAGGCCUUCCUCCGAAAGACAGGUUUCUAAGACAGCCACCGAUGGGUCCUACCUCCUCGUAUUCACAUCCUAUGUAAUCUCCUCCCCAGUGUGGGCUGGACCUGGUGACUUGCUUCCAGUGAAUAGAAUAUAGCAAAAGUGAUUGAUGUCACCUCCAAGAUUCAGCUAUAGAAGACUAUGACUAUGACUUUCCUCUUGGCUAGCAUUCUCGCUAACCCUUCCUGCUUGCUUGUACUGAGCUGCCCUAUGAAGAGGCCCAUGUAGGGUGGCCUGGGUGGGGGUGAUCUGUGGCCAACAGCCAGCAAGGAACUAAAUCCUGUUUACAACCACAUGAGCUUGGAAGGAGUAUAUUUGUAAGCCGAGUUGAAUGCUUUGUGGAGAGAGAUCCCAUUCAGGAGGGCUAAGCUUGAAUCCAGGACUUACUGAGGAGCAAUCACACAGAAAAGGACAGACACUUCGAGGGAAGUACCUCAGAAUGAGAGCCUUGCAUUCAUUUACUUUGGCUCAGUAGCUCCUACUCCUAUAGCAUUUGGGAAGGAAGAAUGAUUGCCUCCAUCCCAUGUAACACAGCUCAUAUUAUACAGAAGGAGAAUGCAAACUUCCUUCUCUCAAGCCUCUAAAGGUGGAAGCAAACCUACCUUACAAACAGCAGGCUUGCUCCUAAUCAGUGCCGUGAAGGGACCAAUGCUGCCUGGUACAUGGAGUCAGUAGGAGGAUGGGCAGAUGGCCACUAGCAUCAGUGACAAUGCAGCCUGGAGUGGAUUCAACAGACAACACAGACUUCCCUUCACUCUCAUCUCUGCCCCCACCAGAGGCACUGAGUCACUGGCUUAACUGAGUCACUGAACCUGGAAGGGACCACGUCCUCCUUCAUUCACUCAUUAUCUCAGUCAGCAUAUACCUCUAUGUGUCAGGCACUGUCAUGGCCGCUGCUCCAGCAAUAGAUAGGACAGGGCCCCUGCCCUCAAGGAGCUUCCAGUCCAGUCAGGGCUACCCCUUCAAUGCCACCCCCCUGCUGGAGAGCCUGGAUCUUGGGUAAGGUUCCACAUCUGUUACUGCUGUAACCUGGUGAUGUCACUUACUCCUCUGUGUCUUGGUUUCUUUAUCUACCUACGUACAGAAUGUAUAUUAGCAAGAUUCGCUAGGUGGUUUAUGUGCACGUUAAAGUUUAAGAAGCACUGCCUGAGAAUCCCUUGGUCCUAAUUAAUUCUUUUCCACACUCAGAUUUGCUAAUGGGUUUCACCUUAUCUCUUGACUCUUGUUUGAUGGCAACAGGAAAUAGUAGCAUUUCAGGAAGGGUGGAAAAUAUAAAAAGCACUCCCAACCCAAGCCUCCAAAAAACAGCAAUUUUCAUUUUGUGUCCAUAUAUUCCCUUCUAAUCAUUGUCCUCAUGCAAGAUUUUUUUUCAUAAAGAUGAUCUGCUACAUAAUUUUAUAUCAUACUCUUUCUCCUAACAUUACAUCACAAGUAUACUUUCAUGUUGCUGCUACAUUCUUCACACUUGUCAUUUUAAUGGCCAUAAAACAUGACAUCUAGUGCACAUAUAUAAUUAUGUAGACUCCUAUUAUUAAAUAUUUGGAUUUCUUCCAUUUUCCCUGUUGUACAUGUUCCAAGCAAAAAAAGAAAGAUCAAGAUAGAUAUGAUGAAGCCGGGGAGCUUGCUUAAGACAGGGGAGAAUAAAUACUUACAGUACACUCUCUCCAUUUAAGAGACACAUGGAGCACAUGGGGGAGGGAGACCUGUCUAAGAACUGGAUCAUAUUAAGGAGAAAAAAGCAACUGGAAUCUCAGGCUUCAGUUGUUGCAUUAUGCUGCUGAAGCAUAGAGGAGAUGGUCCUUUGUGAUCAGAGCGUCUCAACUCGUUUCUGGCAAGCUAAGAUGAACUUUGGGGUUGUGGAUAGAAAGAUAAACUGAUCUGCAAAAGAAAUGCACAGAAGUAUUGAAGGCUAGAAGUUGGCAGACAAGAAAUGAAAAGCAUUUAGAGAAUGGGAGGCCUGUGAAGGUAGCCACAACCCAGGACUUAAGGAGAACACAGGCUGGAGAGGAACUCUCCAAAGCAGAGAAUGGGUGGUGGGUUUUCCAGGCAAUGGUGCCUAGUGGCCAGUUUUAAGUUGUUGCUUGUACUGUGCUCAGCUACACUCCCUUCAUGUUGCCCCAAGCCCUCUCUAAAGUCUGAUAAAUGAUCCACCACUCUGCAGCAGUGGUCUUUGGGACAAUGAAGACACCUCGGUGGUGGGUCACUUAGGGAAAUACAAUCUGGAAGGGGCCAACAGUCCCAGAGACAAGUGGGGUAGCAGAAAUAUGCAGAACCAAGAGUUCAGAGUGAUGGUCACUAGAAGAAAUGUGGCCUCUAAGGAUGCUCAGACAGGUGGAUAUGUAUAGUAGGACCCUAGCUUUACCAUCCUGGCAUAUCAUUCCCAUCAUAGCUAUUUCAUUUUUUUCCAAUUAGUUGCUGAAAUGUCUACAUGUUCUUAUCGAGUUGAAAGAUCAGUGUCUCCCUGUCUCAUUAAAUUUCCAGAACUUCAGAGGCUAAAUCAAUCCAAAAGGGGCUGGCCCUGCUUUCAAACACCAAGUGAAGAGAACUACAAAGUUUGGUGUGUCCACUAGUGUGGUUUCAUACCCCCUAGGUCUUGCUGUUGAGGACUGGUUCUGCCAGGCAUGAUCAAUGACCACCCACAAUGUCCUGUGGCCCAGCCUGUGGAGAGGUGCCCAAACAGAGUUAUCUGGGUCCACAUCCAUGUGCCCAGCUAUUCUGUCCAAUCAUAGCACAAAGACAGGUUGCCUGUGUCCAGAGGGACACACAGCCUCAGGCACACCAGCCCUUACUUAUGAGCUUGAUGGUCAUCAGCAAAGACUCUCUCCCUUUAGGAGGGUUCUCCUUGGGACUUUUCAGUGUCUUGGCAGGAAAGAGAUGGCACACACGAAGCACUGAUUGAAGACAGUUUAAUGAAAGAAUAUUUACAGAGGUUGGGCAAGGGUAUGGAAAACAACAGGGAACAGUAAAACACCCAGGGAUGACAAGGCAAGGUAGCUCAUGUCUGUAAUCUCAGCACUUUGGGAGGCCAACACAGGCAGAUUGCUUGAGCCCAGGAGUUUGAAACCAGCCUGGCAACAUAAGCAAGAAUCUGUUUAUCUACAAAAAAUAAAAUAGCCCUCCAAUCUCCUGUCUGGGUCUUCCAUUGGCCAAAAACAACAGAAGCUAAAGGUCAGGGGACCCUGGGUGAUACGGUCCACAUAGGCAGCACACUGGAGCAAAAGAAGAAAAACCAGCACAAUUCAUCUUAUUACCACUUAGCAGCCAUUCACAAACUUUGCUUAGAUGGGAGAAAAAUAUUUUGUCCCCGGCACAGGGGAAACAUAAAAUCUCACCAGCAGCCAUAUUGUCUGGGGGUGAUAGCAAUUUAGUCCCACUCCCUCCUGCAACUUAAAUCAUAAUGUAGCCAGUCCCGGGUAAGUGGAACACUUCCUGUAAAGCACAACUGCUAGUGCCCCCUUCUGUGGCUGGUCAUGAGGCCCAGAGUGGUAACUGCAGUCUUGUUCUCCCACCACCCAUUCCAUAGCCCCUCUACUUUCUGGCAGUCCCUUAGCUGUUGGAGAAUUUUAUCUGGUGGAAUGACCCAAAUCUUCAUCCACAGAGGAUUCAAAUUCUUAGUGCCGUGUCUUCAAUGAGUUGCCACAGUAUCCACAGAUUCCUAAAGAACAUGAAGAGGCCUUGAAGAUCUCACCUGGAAGCUCUGUAAAAUUAUCAGAAAGAAUAGCAGGUGCUCUAGGGCAACACUACUCAAACUAUGGUCC